GAUGAACGCUGGCGGCGUGCCUAAUACAUGCAAGUCGAGCGAACAGACGAGGAUCUUGCUCCUCUGACGUUAGCGGCGGACGGGUGAGUAACACGUGGAUAACCUACCUAUAAGACUGGGAUAACUUCGGGAAACCGGAGCUAAUACCGGAUAAUAUAUUGAACCGCAUGGUUCAAUAGUGAAAGACGGUCUUGCUGUCACUUAUAGAUGGAUCCGCGCUGCAUUAGCUAGUUGGUAAGGUAACGGCUUACCAAGGCAACGAUGCGUAGCCGACCUGAGAGGGGGAUCGGCCACAAUGGAACUGAGACACGGUCCAGACUCCUACGGGAGGCAGCAGUAGGGAAUCUUCCGCAAUGGGCGAAAGCUUGACGGAGCAACGCCGCGUGAGUGAUGAAGGUCUUCGGAUCGUAAAACUCUGUUAUUAGGGAAGAACAAAUGUGUAAGUAACUGUGCACGUAUUGACGGUAACUAAUCAGAAAGCCACGGCUAACUACGUG
rnacentral:rRNA from 1 species